rnacentral:rRNA from 1 species
UACGGGGGGGGCAAGCGUUGUUCGGAAUUACUGGGCGUAAAGGGUUCGUAGGUGGCCAACUAAGUCAGACGUGAAAUCCCUCAGCUUAACUGGGGAACUGCGUCUGAUACUGGUUGGCUUGAGUGCAGGAGAGGAAUGCGGAAUUCCAGGUGUAGCGGUGAAAUGCGUAGAUAUCAGGAGGAACACCUGUGGUGUAGACAGCUUACUGGACCACGACUGACGCUGAGACACGAAAGCGUGGGUAGCAAACAGG